rnacentral:rRNA from 1 species
CACGUAGGGCGCAAGCGUUGUCCGGAAUUAUUGGGCGUAAAGAGCUCGUAGGCGGUCUGUUGCGUCCGCUGUGAAAACUCGGGGCUUAACCCUGAGCUUGCAGUGGGUACGGGCAGACUAGAGUGCGGUAGGGGAGACUGGAAUUCCUGGUGUAGCGGUGAAAUGCGCAGAUAUCAGGAGGAACACCGGUGGCGAAGGCGGGUCUCUGGGCCGACACUGACGCUGAGGAGCGAAAGCGUGGGGAGCGAACAGG